AACCUGGUUGAUCCUGCCAGUAGUCAUAUGCUUGUCUCAAAGACUAAGCCAUGCAUGUCUAAGUAUAAGUAUUAUACAGCGAAACUGCGAAUGGCUCAUUAAAACAGUUAUAAUUUAUUUGAUAAUCGAAUUUACAUGGAUAACCGUGGUAAUUCUAGAGCUAAUACAUGCUGGUAGGCCCGACUUUUUGGAAGGGCGGUAUUUAUUAGAUAACAAACCAAUAUUCCUCUGGUCUAUUGUGGUGAAUCAUAAUAACUGAUCGAAUCGCAAGGUUUUUAACCGCGAUAAGUCAUUCAAGUUUCUGCCCCAUCAGCUUUCGAUGGUAGUGUAUUGGACUACCAUGGCUUUUACGGGUAACGGAGGAUUAGGGUUCGAUUCCGGAGAGGGAGCCUGAGAAACGGCUACCACAUCUAAGGAAGGCAGCAGGCGCGUAAAUUACCCAAUCCUGACUCAGGGAGGUAGUGACAAGAAAUAACGGACCGAGGCCUUCGGGCUUCGGGAUUGCAAUGAGCCGAAUUUACACCCCUUAGCGAAGAUCGAUUGGAGGGCAAGUCUGGUGCCAGCAGCCGCGGUAAUUCCAGCUCCCAAUAGCGUAUA
rnacentral:rRNA from 1 species